UACAUCUUUAUGAAUUUUAAUAAUAGAAAUAUAUUUGAAAAUUUAACAAAAACGUACUUAAAGUAAUAAAAUGGAUAGCAUAACACGGCAACACACUCUUGCCUUUUUAAGGCAUUUGGCCGUUUUAGUAGGAGAAUAUUUAGGAAACCCUAAUGAAGUGUCUGGCCUUUGGCCCUGUCUCUCUCAUUCAUUGGCAUUCUUAAUGUAAUUUCUGCCAUUCUAAAAGCUUUCGCUUUCGUAUGUAUGGGUGAAAAUGAUAGGAUUUGUUACUUAUAGGUUUAUACAAUGGUCGAGACAUACGCAUACAACGCAGAAAUAAUACAAUGCAAAUAAUUCAAGACAAUCAUCGUUCUUACGAUGCUUUGCAGUAUCCGUUGAUAUUUUGAGAAGGAGAAGAUGGAUAUCAUUUAAAUAUGAAACAAAGGAAUCCAACUGCAGCUGAAGACAGUUAGUGCUAUGAACUUCUACGCUUAUCGGUUGAUGAUUCGUGCUAAUGAAAACAACAACAUUCUCCGAUACAGGCAACUAUUUCAUCAGUACACGGUCAAUUAUAUGUUGCUUGUUCAAGAGUACGGCUCAAGGAUUAACCAAAAAUAUUGUACAACCAAUGGCAUUACAACAAAUUAAGUUUAUGUAAAUUACAAAAAAUAAAUGUUAUAAAAUAAAAUAA